CCGGCUUCUCUCUCCCAUUUCGUCUCUGUCCGAGGGCGGUGUAUGGGAUAUGCUGAGAUGGAAAGCCAUGUGGCAUGGGAAACCAUGGAUCAUCCGACUACUGUAAAUCUGCACCUUAAGCAUAGGUUAUGGAGUAAUUCCGGUAGCUGAAGGAUCAGUAGGAUGGAGGUACGCUAAUCGCUUCAACAACUGAGAUGCAGGUGUUUGGCAUCCUCAUGCCGUCUGCUGCAGGAUUGGAAUCUGUUGGAGGAGCCAGUCUGCAGCAGCUGAUGAAGGAAUUGAUGUCAUCAUGCGACUCUGCUGCUUCACUGAGCCUCUGAGGGGAGUGGCAGCUCAUAUUAGAGGAAGCUGAACUGAAAGGUCAACAAUGCUUCUGGACUGCAGCGUGAAAGUGGACACUUUAAACUUCGGAGAUGAACUCGAGCAACGGCGCCGACACGGAAGAUGAUGGGAACCUUAUCCUCCAUUUACUGAACUGAUGCUGUGGUCAGGAUGGUCUGAGCUUCUGGAGUUUAUUUGUAAUUUAAUAAAGAUUUGAAAUGAACCCACA